CCUGCAGACGGUGGCGAAUGCUCAGUCUUCUCAAUUCAAGUUAUGACAGUCUUCUCUGAGUAUAAUAACUUCUGUAGGGUAAUUACUUUCCCUCCUCUCGAGGGCAUUCCCCACCUCCACCUUCACAAAGAAGCAUCAUGGUCAGUUGCAAGGUAAGCCAAUGUAUCCUCCAGGCAUUGUGAUGUUCUCCUGGUCCCUGGCUGCAUCUGUCACUGAGUAGCUGAGGCUGAUAUGUCCACCUGUGAUCAGGUGCCCAUGGCCUGGUGGUUCCUCCUCAUCCUUCUGAUCCCCUGAGGCCUGCCUGUGGCUGCUCCUGAGAAUCUGGCUGGCAGAGUCUGCUGUGGAGCUGAGUCUCCAGGGUAACUGUCUUCCCUAGGACAGCUUGGAAGCCAGCGUCAUCAGUGAUCAUCUAUGUUCCCUCUGGAGCACGUGGGAAUUUCCAUGUCCCAUAAAUACUAGGCCAGGGAUGUGGCAAUCUUUGGCCUGGUCUCAGGAGCUUCCCUCAGAAUUGUCUGUUUUGGUUCAGGCACCAUGCAGCAAGCAGCGCCCUGUUGGCCACAGGGCUUCUCUAAAAGGCAUGGAGUAUUUACAGGAUGAGCCCAAGGAAGCAUUACCCUCUGCAUUCCUGGGACUGAAGGUCAUGGCUAAUUGGCAUGGCUGCUCAAAUCUUCUCUGAGCAUCGCCUCAUGGAAAUCUUGCAAAGUGGAGGACCCAGUGGGAGAACAACAGGAUUCUGAUUAUGGGCUGAAGAUAAUUUCACUGGCUCACCACGGGCCUUAUUUGCUGGUGAUAAAAUAAAGGAUAGGAGCUCAGCAACCA
ensembl:lncRNA